AGAGUUUGAUCCUGGCUCAGAACGAACGCUGGCGGCGUGGAUAAGACAUGCAAGUCGAACGAGAUUUUUUUCUGUAGCAAUACAGGGAAAAGUCUAGUGGCGAACGGGUGCGUAACACGUGGGCAAUCUGCCUUAAAGUGGGGGAUAGCUCGGCGAAAGCCGAAUUAAUACCGCAUGUGAUCAGGGGAGACAUCUUCCCGAAAUCAAAAGUGGCGCAAGCUACUGCUUUUUGAGGAGCCCGCGGCCUAUCAGCUAGUUGGUGAGGUAACGGCUCACCAAGGCUUUGACGGGUAGCUGGUCUGAGAGGACGACCAGUCACACUGGAACUGAGACACGGUCCAGACACCUACGGGUGGCAGCAGUCGAGAAUUUUUCUCAAUGGGGGAAACCCUGAAGGAGCGACGCCGCGUGGAGGAUGAAGGUCUUCGGGUUGUAAACUCCUGUCAUUUGGGAACAAGUCGUACGUAGUAACUAUACGUGCGUUGAUAGUACCAGAAGAGGAAGGGACGGCUAACUCUGUGCCAGCAGCCGCGGUAAUACAGAGGUCCCAAGCGUUGUUCGGAUUCAUUGGGCGUAAAGGGUGUGUAGGUGGCGCCGUAAGUCGGGUGUGAAAUUUCGGAGCUUAACUCCGAAACUGCAUUCGAUACUGCGGUGCUUGAGGACUGGAGAGGAGACUGGAAUUCAUGGUGUAGCAGUGAAAUGCGUAGAGAUCAUGAGGAAGACCAGUGGCGAAGGCGGGUCUCUGGACAGUUCCUGACACUGAGACACGAAGGCCAGGGGAGCAAACGGGAUUAGAUACCCUAGUAGUCC
rnacentral:rRNA from 1 species